GACGAACGCUGGCGGCGUGCCUAAUACAUGCAAGUCGAACGCAGUGGGGACGGGUGCGUAACAAGUGGGUAACCUCCCAUCAGAGGGGAUAACCCUUGGAAACAGGUGCUAAACCGAUACUGAUGUAUGGACCCGCGGUGCAUUAGCUAGUUGGUGAGGUAACGGCUCACAAAGGCCACGAUGCCUCGCCGACCUGAGAGGGUGAUCAGCCACACGGGAACUGAGACACGGCCCAGACUCCUACGGGAGGCAGCAGUAGGGAAUCUUCGGCAAUGGACGAAAGUCUGAUCUAGCAACGCCGCGUGAAUGAAGAAGGUUUUCGGAUCGUAAAGCUCUGUUGUUAGAGAAGCGGUAUCUAACCAGAAAGCCACGGCUAACUACGUGCCAGCAGCCGCGGUAAUUC
rnacentral:rRNA from 1 species